UACGAAUGGUGCAAGCGUUGUUCGGAAUCACUGGGCAUAAAGAGCACGUAGGCGGUUUGGUAAGUCAGCUGUGAAAUCCCCCGGCUCAACCGGGGAACUGCAGCUGAUACUGCUGGACUAGAGUGCGCGAGGGGAGAGCGGAAUUCCUGGUGGAGCGGUGAUAUGCGUAGAUAUCAGGAGGAACGCCGGAGGCGAAAGCGGCUCUCUGGUGCGCAACUGACGCUGAGGUGCGAAAGCUAGGGGAGCGAAC
rnacentral:rRNA from 1 species